rnacentral:rRNA from 1 species
CACCAAGGCGACGAUCCUUAGCUGGUCUGAGAGGAUGAUCAGCCACACUGGGACUGAGACACGGCCCAGACUCCUACGGGAGGCAGCAGUAGGGAAUAUUGGACAAUGGGGGAAACCCUGAUCCAGCAAUGCCGCGUGAGUGAUGAAGGCCUUAGGGUUGUAAAGCUCUUUUACCCGGGAUGAUAAUGACAGUACCGGGAGAAUAAGCUCCGGCUAACUCCGUGCCAGCAGCCGCGGUAAUACGGAGGGAGCUAGCGUUGUUCGGAAUUACUGGGCGUAAAGCGCACGUAGGCGGCUAUUCAAGUCAGAGGUGAAAGCCCGGGGCU